ensembl:lncRNA
AGGGGAACUGUUAGGUCAUGUCUUGAACUGGUGAUUGAGCACCUGGUGAAGGGAUGUGGCUGUCUCAGGGAGCACAGGUGAAAACGACGUGCCUGUGCUCCCUGGGUGCAGGGAGAGUGCACCUGUGCACCCCUUCCUGAGAGCCCCAUACUGGGAUCAUGUAAGGGCUGGCCACUGAAGGGAGGUUAUUUCUUCAACCUAGGCUUCUUCCAGAGGAGGAGUGCUGUAUGGUCAGAGAUAUUCACCAGCUAGCGUGCAAAUGUAUUUAACAAUGUGGCUGCAAGAGGAGAAGAGCAAGAGGAAGAUUUCAGGAAAUGUAUUGCUUGGAAUACUUUCUUGUGUGGAUAAAAUCCAUGUCUGAAACAAUGCUUAAUAGAGGAGCCUACAAAAAGAAGAUGAGUGACCAGAGUAUUUACCAGUAUGUGAUUGGACAAAUGCAUGAAUGCACCUACAGUCAAAUAAAUUUUGCUGGGAUUCGUCUGAAGACACAAGUUUUAUACAUUUGUACAUUUUAAAACAAGAAUUUUAUUAUUUUAUCAUUAUGUGAGCAAUUAACAUGUUCAUGAAAAUCUCUUCAUCAUAGCAGGUCAGGAUUUGCACAGGUGUUUAUCUGUUAUCUGAUCUGCAUUGAUUAUGUUUUUCAGGUGUAUUUAUAUGCAAUAAAACGGUUCUCAGAUAUAUUGUUGUAUAUGAAAAGAUUGAUGAAUGCUAAUCUCAAGCCAGUAUCCAAACGUGGUUUUGAAGUUGAGUCUUUUGGUGCCACCUUCUGGUGUGAGCUGUUUGAUAGGGACAGAAUGCAGCUCGGGUUUUUAUUAAUAGAUGUGUUAUGGGGAUGUCGUCACGUCAUGUUUUCAGUAGUGACUUAGGUCACAGUAGAAUGGGAAUGACAAGAUAGUGAAUUAUAGUAAAUGAUUGCAAAAGAUAUACUUAAUUUAAGCCAACAGUCCUUGUUAUCUAAUAGAGGGGAAAAGGUUC